GCUGGGGUAUAGGGCUGAAGCUGGAUUUUAGAGCUGAAGCUGGGUUAUAGGGCUAAAGCUGGGUUUUAGAGCUGAAGCUGGUAUAUAGGGCUGAAGCUGGGAUAUAUAGGGCUGAAGCUGGGCGGGAGAGGGGAGGGGAGGAGAGGCAGGCUCUAUAUAUGCUUGCUAGCGGCUAAGCUAAAUGUACAGCUUACUAUUGUCAGCCACUAGCAGCUCCAGAGUCAACACAGUGGAGUAUAGAGGCCAUUAUAUCAGCAACAACAGAGCUAAUAACAUUGUAAUAGUAGUCCUCAUCACAGUAGACAGUAGCUAGAUUUUAGUUGAUUGUUGAUCCCAAAACACUGUGCCGUUCCUUGUUGUAGAUUUAACCAAUAAGGCACGAGGGGGUGUGGUAAAUGGCCAAUAUACGAUGGCUAAGUGCUGUUCUUACGCAAGACGCAACGCGGAGUGUCUGGGUACAGCCCUUAGCCGUGGUAUAUUAGCCAUAUAGCACAAACCCCAGAGGAACCAUAUUACUAUUAUAAACUAGUUACCAAUGUAAUUAGAGCAGGAAAAAUACAUGUUUUUUCAUACCCGUGGUAUACGUUGUGAUAUACCAAGGCUUUCAGCCAAUCAGCAUUCAGGGCUCGAACCACUCAGUUUCUAAUUAAGCAAUAAUGCACGACGGGGUGUGGUAUAUGGACAAUAUACAACGGCUAAGGGCUGUUCUUAAGUACGACGCAUCACGGUUAUAGUGGUUAUAGUGGUCCUGGUUGUAUGGUUGUAGUGGUCCCUGUUGUAGUGGUCGUAGUGGUCCUGGUUGUAGUGGUCCUGGUUGUAGUGGUUGUAGUGGUCCCGGUUGUAGUGGUCGUAGUGGUCCUGGUUGUAGUGGUUGUAGUGAUUGUAGUGAUCCUGGUUGUAGUGGUCGUAGUGGUCCUGGUUGUAGUGGUUGUAGUGAUUGUAGUGGUUGUAGUGAUUGUAGUGGUCCUGGUUGUAGUGGUCCUAGUGGUCCUGGUUGUAGUGGUCCUGGUUGUAGUGGUUGUAGUGGUCCCGGUUGUAGUGGUCCUGGUUGUAGUGGUUGUAGUGAUUGUAGUGAUCCUGGUUGUAGUGGUUGUAGUGGUUGUAGUGAUUGUAGUGAUUGUAGUGGUCCUGGUUGCAGUGGUUGUUGUGGGCAUAGAAAUAGAAUUCAUCAUUCAAGUUACCGAUGGCAUAAUGGGUGGAGUCAUUGCAAAUGUACCCAUGAGUUUAAAUCUAAUUGCCAGGGUUAGAGGUUUCAAGCCCUUCCUAUGGAGUCUAUUUCCACAGUUGGAGGUCUGUAGCUGGGCUACGGAGAGAUCUAGCCUUACGGCAUGGUGGAAGGAACUCUUCCAUUUACAUAAGAGGCUCUGUAAUGGGAUUGUGGAGGUAGGAGCUAGUCGUUUGGCUUUUGGCCCAGUAGCCUGUAGUAACUGGACUAUACUUCUCAAUCAUUCAGCAGAUUAACCUGGGACAGUAUAUAGUAUAGGGUCCCGUGUGGCUCAGUUGGUAGAGCAUGGUGUUUGCAACGCCAGGGUUGUGGGUUCGAUUCCCACAGGGGGACCAGUAUGGAAAAAAUGUAUGAAAUGUAUGCAUUCACUCACUACUGUAAGUCGCUCUGG
rnacentral:tRNA from 1 species